UACGUAGGGGGCUAGCGUUGUCCGGAUUUAUUGGGCGUAAAGAGCGUGUAGGCGGCCAGGUAGGUCCGGUGUGAAAACUCGAGGCUUAACCUCGAGAUGUCAUCGGAAACCAUUUGGCUAGAGUCCGGAAGAGGAGAGUGGAAUUCCUGGUGUAGCGGUGAAAUGCGCAGAUAUCAGGAAGAACACCAAUGGCGAAGGCAGCUCUCUGGGACGGUACUGACGCUGAGACGCGAAAGCGUGGGGAGCGAACAGG
rnacentral:rRNA from 1 species